AUCCUCUAUGCGACUCACCUCGCUCGGAUCUGCCUGGGAGAAUCCACCGCUCUCCGCCACCAUGGUGAACUUCACAGUAGACCAGAUCCGGGCAAUCAUGGACAAGAAGACCAACAUCCAAAACAUGUCAGUCAUCGCCCACGUGGACCACGGCAAGUCCACGCUGAUGGACUCGCUGGUGUGCAAGGCCAGCAUCAUCACCUCCCCCCCGCACUGGGGAGACCCGCUUCACUGACACCUGGAAGGACGAACAGGAGCGCUGCAUCACCAUCAAGUCAACGGCUAUCUCCCUCUUCUAUGAGCUCUCAGAGAACGACUUGAACUUUAUCAAGCAGAGCAAGGAUGGCUCCAGCUUUCUAAUCAACCUCAUUGAUUCCCCCGGGCAGGUGGACUUCUCCUCGGAUGUGACUGCCGCCCUCAGUGUCACCGAUGGUGCCUUAGUGGUGGUGGACUGUGUGUCGGGUGUGUGCAUGCAGACAGAGACAGUGCUGUGGCAGGCAAUUGCUGAGCAGAUCAAGCUUGUGCUGAUGAUGAACAAGAUGGACCAGCCUCUGCUGGAGCUGCAGCUGGAGCCUGAGGAGUUCUACCAGACCUUCCAGCGCAUAGUGGAGAACGUCAGUGUCAUCAUUUCCACCUAUGGGUAGGGCAAGAGUGGACCCAUGGGCAACAUCAUGAUCAACCCUGUACUUGGGACUGUCGGCUUUGGGUCUGGACUCCAGGGUUGGGCCUUUACCUUGAAGUAGUUUGCAGAGAUGUAUGUGGCCAAAUUUGCUGCCAAGGGCAAGGGCCAGCUGGGGCCUGCUGAGCGUGCCAAGAAAGUGGAGGACAUGAUGAAGAAGCUGUGGGGUGACCGGUACUUUGAUCCAGCCAAGAGCAAAUUCAGCAAGUCAGCCACCAGCCCUGAUGGCAAGAAGCUACCACGGAUGUUCUGCCAGCUCAUCUUGGACCCUAUUCUCAGGGUGUUUGACGCUAUCAUGAAUUUCAGGAAAGAGGAGAUGGCAAAGCUGAUUGAAAAGCUGGAUAUCAAGCUGGACAGUGAAGACAAAGACAAAGAAAGUUUGUGUAUUGCCUUUGAACUCAAACCUUGA